rnacentral:rRNA from 1 species
UACGUAGGGGGCAAGCGUUGUCCGGAUUUACUGGGCGUAAAGAGCAUGUAGGCGGCCAAAUAAGUCAGAUGUGAAAGUUUUCGGCUCAACCGGAAAAGUGCAUUUGAAACUGUAUGGCUUGAGUAUUGGAGAGGUAAGCGGAAUUCCUAGUGUAGCGGUGAAAUGCGUAGAGAUUAGGAAGAACACCGGUGGCGAAGGCGGCUUACUGGACAAUAACUGACGCUAAGAUGCGAAAGCGUGGGGAGCGAAC